GACGAACCGUCCAAACGUUAUUCGGAAUCACUGGGCUUACAGAGUUCGUAGGCGGUCUGGAAAGUUGGGUGUGAAAUCCCUCGGCCUAACCGAGGAACUGCGCUUGAAACUACCAGACUCGAGGGAGAUAGAGGAAAGCGGAACUGAUGGUGGAGCGGUGAAAUGCGUUGAUAUCAUCAGGAACACCGGUGGCGAAGGCGGAUCUCUGGGCCAUUACUGACGCUGAGGAGCGAAAGCGUGGGGAGCGAAGAGG
rnacentral:rRNA from 1 species